CCUUUACCCAGAGGAGAAGGCACUCGCGGAGCUUCCCAUCGCGCGGAACACAGUGCCAUAUAGAAGCCUCGGAUUCAGGGCAUAUGCUGCAUCCUGGAGGACUGCCCAAUCAUUAAGAGUCUUGUCUCCAAGAUCACAAGUAGGAGAGAUGCAGGCAGAGAGAGAGAGAGGAG